GCUCUGUGAUGAGAAGUAGCCAAAUCUGAGCACCGGAAAGAUCAGCUGGUCUCAAUGGUGCAUGAUCUGUAUACUAUUCUGGGA
rnacentral:snoRNA from 1 species